rnacentral:rRNA from 1 species
AGAUAACCAUGCAUGUCUAAGUAUAAGCAAUUAUACCGCGAAACUGCGAAUGGCUCAUUAAAUCAGUUAUCGUUUAUUUGAUAGUACCUUACUACUUGGAUAACCGUGGUAAUUCUAGAGCUAAUACAUGCUAAAAAUCCCGACUUCGGAAGGGAUGUAUUUAUUAGAUUAAAAACCAAUGCCCUUCGGGGCUCACUGGUGAUUCAUAAUAACUUUUCGAAUCGCAUGGCCUUGCGCCGGCGAUGGUUCAUUCAAAUUUCUGCCCUAUCAACUUUCGACGGCUGGGUCUUGGCCAGCCAUGGUGACAACGGGUAACGGAGGGUUAGGGCUCGACCCCGGAGAAGGAGCCUGAGAGACGGCUACUACAUCCAAGGAAGGCAGCAGGCGCGCAAAUUACCCAAUCCCGACACGGGGAGGUAGUGACAAUAAAUACUGAUACAGGGCUCUUUAGGGUCUUGUAAUUGGAAUGAGUACAAUUUAAAUCCCUUAACGAGGAACAAUUGGAGGGCAAGUCUGGUGCCAGCAGCCGCGGUAAUUCCAGCUCCAAUAGCGUAUAUUAAAGUUGUUGCAGUUAAAAAGCUCGUAGUUGAACCUUGGGCCUGGCUGGCCGGUCCGCCUCACCGCGUGCACUGGUCCGGCCGGGUCUUUCCCUCUGGGGAACCGCAUGCCCUUCACUGGGUGUGCUGGGGAACCAGGACUUUUACUUUGAAAAAAUUAGAGUGUUCAAAGCAGGCCUAUGCUCGAAUACAUUAGCAUGGAAUAAUAGAAUAGGACGUGUGGUUCUAUUUUGUUGGUUUCUAGGACCGCCGUAAUGAUUAAUAGGGACAGUCGGGGGCAUCAGUAUUCAAUUGUCAGAGGUGAAAUUCUUGGAUUUAUUGAAGACUAACUACUGCGAAAGCAUUUGCCAAGGAUGUUUUCAUUAAUCAGGAACGAAAGUUAGGGGAUCGAAGACGAUCAGAUACCGUCGUAGUCUUAACCAUAAACUAUGCCGACUAGGGAUCGGACGAAGUUAUUUUUUGACUCGUUCGGCACCUUACACGAAAGUAUAAGUUUCUGGGUUCUGGGGGGAGUAUGGUCGCAAGGCUGAACUUAG